GGUAACUGCGUGACUGGUUCCUAGAUAAACUCUUGUUAUUUGGCGAAUUAUCGCCGUCAGCGAAUGAAAGAAACGAAACACUCAAGGGAAAUAUGAAAUGACUGUGUAUCCGGCAACAUCAGCUACGGCCUCGAUAUAAUAACUGUCCUCCCAGAGAGCACAAGGACGGUGUUCUGUUUUUAUGCUGCACUCCUCUCUACAAGAAAACGUUAAAUGUGUGUAGAUCGACGUGGUUUCAAUGAGUGAAGAAUGAGGUCAUCUCAGGGAAGUAUACCGACAGGGAUGAUAUUCGUCACUACGUCUAACAAAUUGCUUGGGACGUUUAGAAUUGUGAAUCGUGAUGCUAGUGGUCAGUGAAUAGAGGCGAACUAGCGUGAAACAUCAGCAUUAAUUACCAAGAAGCGGGUCUGAAACUGUACGUAUUCCUCAAAUCAGCGUCUGUAUAAACUAGUACAUUGAACAACAGACCCCUGUGUUCACGGCAUUUUUUAAGCUCUGUAUGAGGAGAUCGGUUAACCAUUGGUACCAAUCUUGCACCUUCAUGGUUCUCAUACAUUAUCCUUAAUGUUCAUACAAUCAUUUGAAGUUCUUUUCACUUUCCUUCCACCAUCUUACAUUCAAUCAAAAGCCAGCCGCUUCGUAACCGGGAGGUCGUGAGUUCGAACUCCGCUCAUGCCAUAGCCACGUCAAACCUAAGACGUUGAAAUAGGUAGUAAUUACGCCUUCGCCAAACGCUCGGUAUUUACAAGUGAGAAUCGCGGGUUUUUCAGAUAUGACCUUAAAAACCUGUUACGGCCCUGAACACGCCAACUAUACAUAUGUAGGUCUAAAUUCGUGGUAGUUCACCUAUAGCUGGUGACGUCAGUGAAAAAUUCUCGACUAGACGUCAAACAAACAAACAAAGAAACAGUACAUCACUGUUGGACUCGUGUGUUUGGUCCCGGCCGAAUACAAGAAGUUUUCUGCCAAAAUACAGAAUGUCUGACGUUGUGUUCGGUUAUAUGCUUAGAAGGAUCCAAAAAAGGUUCCAUUGAUGAUAUUAAAUCUAAUUCAACGUUAUUUAUUGAUAAAACUUUAAAUAUUACGGAUUGCGAUACGUUGCCAGUUUGACGUUGUUUCCAUUUUAAGGGGGAAAGAAAUUUUGACGACGUAAAAAGAUACAGAUAUUCUUUUUUCAAAAAUGGAUCUAUUCAAUAUAUGGAGAUCUUGUUGAUUGAUUUCACUAUUACAACAUUGUUCGUGGGAAGAAGAUUUAGAAAUUGUUUUCCAUGUGAAAAUUAAACCUAUACCGUGGCUUCCUACUGGCUGCAAGGUGUACGAGGUGAACAAUGCCGAAUUGCUACUAUAGGAGGACGCUUAUACAACAUUUCACAAAGGUAGACUUAUUCUUAAAAAGAAGUUUCUUUUUUAGGAAUUUUCUCACCAAUCAGUGCUAUUUAAGUCUGCGCUUUCUCCUCGGGUAAAAUGAUGCAGUGAAUUCGAAAACAACUUUAGAUACUAUUAGAUAAAUUAAUUAGAUAAUACACAAUAUAUAGUUCUGAAGACGGUUUUCAAAUGUUUCCAUAUCAUUCUUGCUAUAUUUACUGUAUUUUUGACAUAUUUCAAUUUUUACAAAUAAAAUCUGUAACAUGACACCUAUUGCAGAAAAUCUGCAAAUAAUAAAAAUUAUCUGUAAAAUGAAAUAUAUUCACUCAGAAAAGAUGGUACUAGUAUUCAUAAAGGGGGUGUAACCGUGUUGAUUGAAAUGGAAUUCUUGUGAUUAUGAACAAAACAAAAAUACAUUCACAUAUAUACAUACAUUGAAUUAAUGUCGGUCACUUGAAUAUUCUGUAUCAGAUAAACUAGAAUAACGAAAUAGCUUUUAUUAAACACCAAAUGGACUUUCAAAAUACUUACGAAAACAGAAAAUAACAGAAAAAGUAUUAUUAUUUUUAUUGGUAAUUAUAGAUAUAAUAUCUGAUAUCUUAAAGUGUCCAGACAAGAUCGUUUAAAGUUCUGGGCCUUUCUGGUCGGCAAAUUAAUUACGUGGCGUUCAUAAAAAAUGGUAUAUCCAAUCUCGCUUAAAAUCCAGAUAUGACUGAAAUAUCGCCCGCCUCGUAUAAAACCACAUAUGGCUAGAUAAGCAAGUCCACUCGCAAAUUUUGUCAGUUCUUUUUAGAAUAAUGAUCUUUUUAAGCACAGAUCUUAAGAACGGGAAAUUUCAAUGCGGAGGAUGGUAGACACAAAACCAUAUUUGAUGGCAAAAUCACAGAAAAUGAGGGUGACUCGGGAGUUCAGAAGUCAUAUGUUUAAAACAGAGGCC